rnacentral:rRNA from 1 species
UACGGAGGAUGCGAGCGUUAUCCGGAUUUAUUGGGUUUAAAGGGUGCGUAGGCGGGAUGCCAAGUCAGCGGUAAAAAUGCGGUGCUCAACGCCGUCGAGCCGUUGAAACUGGCGUUCUUGAGUGGGCGAGAAGUAUGCGGAAUGCGUGGUGUAGCGGUGAAAUGCAUAGAUAUCACGCAGAACUCCGAUUGCGAAGGCAGCAUACCGGCGCCCUACUGACGCUGAGGCACGAAAGCGUGGAUAUCGAACAGG